rnacentral:rRNA from 1 species
GCAUAUGCCAAGUUCAUACAUAAAAAAUGUGAGACUGUGGACGGCUCAGUAUAUCAGUUAUAAUCUGCUCGAUUGUCAAGGUUAUUGGAUAACCGUGGGAAAUCUAGAGCUAAUACAUGCAGUUUGCGGGACACGGUGACGUGUGUCGUUGGCAUUUAUUGGAAAUAACCAGCCGUGGCGCCUCGGCGCGACGUGGUGAAUCUAGAUAACUGUGCAGAUCGUAUGGCCUUGUGCUGACGACGUUUCGAUUGAAUUUCUGCCCUAUCAACUUUUGUCGAGAGUGUAGUGUACUCCCGAGGUGAUAACGGGUAACGGGGGAUCAGGGUUCGAUUCCGGAGAGGGAGCCUGAGAAACGGCUACCACAUCCAAGGAAGGCAGCAGGCGCGCAAAUUACACAAUCCAGACAGUGGGAUGUGGUGACGAAAAGUACCGAGUGGCGACCAUUGGUUGUCAGUUUGGAAUGAAAUCAAUCCAAGUAUUUGAGUUGAGUAACAACUGGAGGGCAAGUCUGGUGCCAGCAGCCGCGGUAAUUCCAGCUCCAGUAGCGUAUCUCAAAGUUGCUGCGCUUAAAACGCUCGUAGUUGGAUCACGCACUGUGCGACGGUGGAUCUGUCGAGCGUGCUAGACUCUUUUCGUCCGGGCGGCGUAUCCUUACGUCGCACUGGGGUUGAGAGGGUGCGAGCGACAGAUUGUUAGCCGACGCGCAGUAAUUGCACGUGAGAAUGGGCAUUGACCUUUGGUGCGUCGGUGCUUGUGUCUCACGGGGUGUGCCUUGAGUAAAUCAGAGUGCUUAAAGCAGGCGUUUAGCUUGAAUGUUGAUAGCAUGGAACGAACAAUCGUGUAGGUGUGCGCUGGCUAGGGCGUGAGUUGCGAAAGCGACUCUCGCUUCAGCGUACGACACCGACCGCCAAUUACGGAUGUUGGUUCCGUAUUGGGGUACUGAUUAAGAGGAGCGGUUGGGGGCAUUGGUAUUUGGCAGCGAGAGGUGAAAUUCUUGGACCUGCCAAGGACUAACAAAUGCGAAGGCAUCUGUCCAGACCGUAUCCAUUAAUCAAGAACGAAAGUGAGAGGUUCGAAGACGAUCAGAUACCGUCCUAGUUCUCACAGUAAACUAUGCCGACUCGGGAUCAGUUUGGAGUCUUUCCAUGCUCGAUGUUGGUCCCCCUGGGAAACCUAAAGUCUUUCGGUUGCGGGGGGAGUAUGGUCGCAAGAAUGAAACUUAAAGGAAUUGACGGAAGGGCACCACCAGGGGUGGAGCCUGCGGCUUAAUUUGACUCAACACGGGAAAACUUACCUGGUCCGGACAUCAAAAGGAUUCACAGACUAAAAGAUCUUUGAUGAUCUGGUGAUGAGUGGUGCAUGGCCGUUCUUAGUUCGUGGAGUGAUCUGUCAGGCUAAUCCCGGUAACGAACGAGACCACAGUCUCCAUUUGACGGGUCAAAGAAGUUGUGGUGGGCAGCGCGGAGGCAACGAAACGCUGCACACGGCAAUGUAGAUUACCAUGAUUCGAGGCGAGGAGGCAUUGGCGGAAUUGGCAACGAGGAAGCCAGUGAGGAUCCGUUGAGAUACUUGGUUCCUUUAGACUUUCAGUACGUUGUUCGUAAGAGUGGCGUGCUGUAUCAUGGAGAGACAACGGAAUAUAUUUCAAAAUCCGAGGAAGUGUGGCUAUAACAGGUCUGUGAUGCCCUUAGAUGUUCAGGGCUGCACGCGCGCUACAAUGACGGCGACAGCGAGUAUCUGGAUCGAAAGAUUUGGGUAAUCUUGUAAUCGCCGUCGUGAUGGGGAUCGACGUUUGUAAAUACGUCGUGAAAGAGGAAUCCCUAGUACGUGCGAUUCACUAAAUCGCGCGGAUUUAGUCCCUGCCCUUUGUACACACCGCCCGUCGCUACUACCGAGUGAAUGGUGUCAUAAUGCCUUGGGAGCGGACGUUGACUGGGCCUCGUGCUCGGUAUGACGCUGCGAUCAGCGUAGAAUGGCGCAAUUUCGAGGAAGUAAAAGUCGUAACAAGGUUUCCGUAGGUGAACC